AAUAUACUUUCUCCGUUUCAUAUUAAGUGACGAAAUAUUACAUGUAUCUAGAUGUUUUUUUAUUUUAGAUACAUCCAUAUUUGGACAAAUUUGAGUUACUUAAUAUGAAACGGAGGGAGUAGUAU
rnacentral:pre_miRNA from 1 species